AUACGGAGGGUGCAAGCGUUAUUCGGAAUCACUGGGCGUAAAGGACGCGUAGGCGGGUUGGCAAGUCAGAUGUGAAAUCCUACAGCUUAACUGUAGAACUGCAUUUGAAACUGCUAACCUAGAGUAUGGGAGGGGGAGAUGGAACUAGUGGUGUAGGGGUAAAAUCCGUAGAUAUCACUAGGAAUACCGAAAGCGAAGGCGAUCUCCUGGAACAUAAUUGACGCUAAGGCGUGAAAGCGUGGGGAGCAAACAGGAUUAGAAACCCCUGUAGUCC
rnacentral:rRNA from 1 species